AGGGGGCAAGCGUUAUCCGGAUUUACUGGGUGUACAGGGAGCGUAGACGGCGGAGCAAGUAUGAAGUGAAAGCCCGGGGCUUCACCCCGGGACUGCUUUGGAAACUGUUUUGCUAGAGUGCUGGAGAGGUAAGUGGAAUUCCUAGUGUAGCGGUGAAAUGCGUAGAUAUUAGGAGGAACACCAGUGGCGAAGGCGGCUUACUGGACAGUAACUGACGUUGAGGCUCGAAAGCGUGGGGAGCAAA
rnacentral:rRNA from 1 species